ACGUAGGGGGCGAGCGUUAUUCGGAAUUACUGGGUGUAAAGGGAAUGUAGGCGGCCCUUCAAGUCGCGAGUCAAAGUCCAGUGCUCAACGCUGGGUGAGCGCGCGAUACUGACGGGGUUGAGGCCUGGAGAGGUGAGAUGAAUUCCCGGUGCAUUGGUAAAAUACGUGGAGAUGAGUAGGAACGCCUGUCGCGCAAGCAGGUCACGAGUGCUUCUCUGACGCUAAGAGACGGAAGCUUCGGUAACAAUCAG
rnacentral:rRNA from 1 species